UGUACUGCAUGAAAAUCCCAGGAGGGCAGCUGUUUCUGUGAUACUAGAACCACCACAUCUGGCACCAUCCAUCUGGCACAGUCAAAGUCGCUUAGAUCACACAUCUUGUCCAUUCUAAUAGGUUGGCUAGUUUGGGAUAGAACCCACAUGUGGUGUAAACUGGUCUGAUGUGUUCCAGUCUCCUGAGAUAGGGGGCGCUGUUUCUAAAAUGAGUCACUCAGGAGAGCCAGACACCAAAGGAGGAACCCUCAGCACUAACAGAAAGAGGGUCCAGGUAGAACGAGCAGGGUCACCUGUACCCAGCUGUGUGUCAAUGAAGAGUGAUCAUUCAAUGGGGAAGAUACUCAACUUCAGAGAAGAGUUUCCAGGUGAUUCAAGGGCCCAGGUAGAUAGAGCAGGGUCACCUGUGCCCAGCUGUGUGUCAAUGAAGAGUGAUCAUUCAAUGGGGAAGAUACUCAACUUCAGAGAAGAGUUUCCAGGUGAUUCAAGGUAAAUGAACAGGUUCAUAU